rnacentral:rRNA from 1 species
GCCAAGAAAAAGCCCAGUCAAACCACCAAACAUUAUAAGUCCAAAAACCAAACCAUUUGACUAAAAAAGUAUUUGAGAAAGAACUUAAAAACCGGAGCAAAAUUACCGCAAGGGAAAACUGAAAGAUUUAUGAAAUACUAAAGCAUAACAAAGCAAAGACUAACCCUUGUACCUCUCGCAUCAUGAUCUAGCAAGCAGACCCAGACAAAGAGCCCUUAAGCCUGUCCACCCGAAACUGCGUGAGCUACUUUAGGGCAAUAAUACGAAUCAACUCGUCUCUGUGGCAAAAGAGUGAGAUGACCUUAAAGUAGAGUGAAAAGCC